rnacentral:rRNA from 1 species
UGGAUCCAGACUUUGAUCAUGGCUCAGGAUGAACGCUAGCUACAGGCUUAACACAUGCAAGUCGAGGGGAAACGAUAGAGAAAGCUUGCUUUUUCUAGGCGUCGACCGGCGCACGGGUGAGUAACGCGUAUCCAACCUGCCCACCACUUGGGGAUAACCUUGCGAAAGUAAGACUAAUACCCAAUGAUAUCUCUAGAAGACAUCUGAAGGAGAUUAAAGAUUCAUCGGUGAUGGAUGGGGAUGCGUCUGAUUAGCUUGUUGGCGGGGUAACGGCCCACCAAGGCUACGAUCAGUAGGGGUUCUGAGAGGAAGGUCCCCCACAUUGGAACUGAGACACGGUCCAAACUCCUACGGGAGGCAGCAGUGAGGAAUAUUGGUCAAUGGGCGAGAGCCUGAACCAGCCAAGUAGCGUGCAGGAUGACGGCCCUAUGGGUUGUAAACUGCUUUUAUAAGGGAAUAAAGUGAGCCUCGUGAGGCUUUUUGCAUGUACCUUAUGAAUAAGGACCGGCUAAUUCCGUGCCAGCAGCCGCGGUAAUACGGAAGGUCCGGGCGUUAUCCGGAUUUAUUGGGUUUAAAGGGAGCGUAGGCCGGAGAUUAAGCGUGUUGUGAAAUGUAGAUGCUCAACAUCUGCACUGCAGCGCGAACUGGUUUCCUUGAGUACGCACAAAGUGGGCGGAAUUCGUGGUGUAGCGGUGAAAUGCUUAGAUAUCACGAAGAACUCCGAUUGCGAAGGCAGCUCACUGGAGCGCAACUGACGCUGAAGCUCGAAAGUGCGGGUAUCGAACAGGAUUAGAUACCCUGGUAGUCCGCACGGUAAACGAUGGAUGCCCGCUGUUGGUCUGAAUAG